UUGAUCUGCUGCUGGGCUGCACUUGGGCUGGGCAGUUGGCCUGCUUCUUUUUUCUGCUUUUUUCUUCUUUCUUUUUUUUUGGGGGUUUGGGGCUACUGGUGGGCUACUACUGAUGCUGCUGGGUGCUGCUGUUUGGGUCGGAUCCGGGUCGGGUCGACCCGAUUACUCCUUUUAAUUUAUUAUUUUAUUUCUUUUUUCUUUCACUUUUUCCUUUUCUUCUCUUUUUUCUUCUUUUUCUUCUCCAAGCCGAACCCCAGCCUCCUUGCUCUUCCUCACCGUCGCCACUUCCUCCACACGAUGCGACGGUGGUGGAGGUGUCACGGUGAAGGUGCGACGACGGUGGUUGCGAGAGGAGGCUUUUGGCUGCUGUUUCUUGACUGUUUUUGCUGCUAUUUUUUUAAUUUUUUUCUUUUCUUUGCUGCCAAAACCGAACCCCCCUCUCUUCCUCUCAUCUUCUUCUUUUAAAUCCUUCAAUUUUGUCUUCUUUCCUUUGUUUUCAGGCGGUAAGGGAGCAUCAUUGGCCUAGGGAGGCUGCUGGAGUAGCUAGAGGUGGGUGGAGCACGCUUGGCUGCCGACUGGCAGAUUUGACAUGUCCAGGAGGACCAAAUUGUAAAGGGUGUAAAGUUUUCAGGGUAAAAAUGUAAUUUUAGAAAAAUAUGAUGCUAAAAUGUAAUUUUUAGAAAUUUUAGGGGUCCGAAUGUAAUUUAUAAUUUUUGUA